GAUGAACGCUGGCGGCGUGCUUAAUACAUGCAAGUCGAACGAGGGACUCCAGUCUUCGGAUCGGAGUUUCCUAGUGGCGAACGGGUGAGUAACGCGUUGGUGACCUGCCCCAAAGUAAGGGAUACCAGUUCGAAAGGACUGCUAAUACCUCAUACGCUCCACAGGGUUAGAGGCCUGUGGAUGAAAGAAGUAAUUCGCUUUGGGAGGGGCCUGCGUCCCAUCAGCUUGUUGGUAGGGUAACGGCCUACCAAGGCUAUGACGGGUAGGGGACCUGAGAGGGUGACCCCCCACACUGGCACUGAAACACGGGCCAGACACCUACGGGUGGCAGCAGUAGGGAAUAUUGGACAAUGGGCGAAAGCCUGAUCCAGCAACGCCGCGUGCGCGAUGACGGCCUUCGGGUUGUAAAGCGCUUUUAGAGGAGAUGAGAAAGGACAGUAUCCUCUGAAUAAGCCUCGGCGAACUACGUG
rnacentral:rRNA from 1 species